UUAUGAGAGUUUGAUCCUGGCUCAGGACGAACGCUGGCGGCGUGCCUAAUACAUGCAAGUCGAACGCUUUUUCUUUCACCGGAGCUUGCUCCACCGAAAGAAAAAGAGUGGCGAACGGGUGAGUAACACGUGGGUAACCUGCCCAUCAGAAGGGGAUAACACUUGGAAACAGGUGCUAAUACCGUAUAACACUAUUUUCCGCAUGGAAGAAAGUUGAAAGGCGCUUUUGCGUCACUGAUGGAUGGACCCGCGGUGCAUUAGCUAGUUGGUGAGGUAACGGCUCACCAAGGCAACGAUGCAUAGCCGACCUGAGAGGGUGAUCGGCCACACUGGGACUGAGACACGGCCCAGACUCCUACGGGAGGCAGC
rnacentral:rRNA from 1 species